AGGACAACAAAACUCAAGGGAUAAUGGAAAAAAGCCAGUGGGACCUCAAAAAGAUCCGUUUUCAACGGAGACGUCUGACCAGGCUGGACGAUUUUGUACAUACAUACAAAGUCACCUUGAGCGCCCUGCUAAGGGAAUAUGGCGACUCUCUGAGGAGGGGGAAGAAGACCCAUCGUGUGGACAUGGAGCGAUGGAAAAAAAGAAAGCAGAACAGGCGAGGAGUUUAUGUGACACCCAUAAACAAGCCUUUUGUUUUCAGACAGCACAAGAAGAAUCUCAUGCAGAAGACAAAAACAGCAAAAGCUCCAGCUCCACUACAAAAACAAGCGCCAGGUGAAACGGAAGCACAUAUUCCAUCACAGGUAAUCCCAUUUAGCAUGGUUAAACAAAGCCAGGAAGCAUUUGAAACACAUACAUCUAAACCAGCUUGGAAU